GACGAACGCUGGCGGCGUGCUUAACACAUGCAAGUCGAACGGAAAGGCCCUGCUUUUGUGGGGUGCUCGAGUGGCGAACGGGUGACUAACACGUGAGUAACCUGCCAUUGACUUUGGGAUAACUUCAGGAAACUGCGGCUAAUACCGGAUAGGAGCUCCUGCUGCUUGGUGGGGGUUGGAUAGUUUCGGUGGUUGGGGAUGUACUCGCGGCUUAUCAGCUUGUUGGUGGGGUAGUGGCUUACCAAGGCUUGGACGGGUAGCCGGCCUGAGAGGGGGACCGGCCACAUUGGGACUGAGAUACGGCCCGGACUCCAACGGGAGGCAGCAGUGGGGAAGAUUGCACAAUGGGCGGAAGCCUGAUGCAGCAACGCCGCGUGGGGGAUGACGGCCUUCGGGUGGUAAACCGCUUCCGCCUGUGACGAAGCGUGAGUGACGGUAAUGGGUAAAGAAGCACCGGCUAACUACGUG
rnacentral:rRNA from 1 species